rnacentral:misc_RNA from 1 species
CGCAUAUUGCGCCCAUUAGUAUUCUAGUGGGCAUGCCUGUUCGAGCGUCAUUUCAACCCUCAAGCCCUGGUUGCUUGGUGUUGGGGCCGCUAUGAGCGAUCAUAGGCCCCGGAAAACAGUGGCGGGCUUGCUAUGAACCCGAGCGUAGUACACAUUCUCGCUUAGGGGCCCAUAGCGGGUACCAGCCGUUAAAAACCCCACUAUUUUAUAAGGUUGACCUCGGAUCAGGUAGGAAUACCCGCUGAACUUAA